rnacentral:rRNA from 1 species
GACAGUUCAUGCUUUUACAGUAUGAAAAUUGGUGAUUUAUAAUAACUUAGCAAAUCGCAAAGUGAAAACAGGCGAUAAAUCAUUCAAGUUUCUGACCUAUCAGCUUUCGACGGUAUGGUAUUGGCUUACCGUGGCAGUGACGGUUAACGGGGGAUUAGGGUUCGAUUCCGGAGAGGGAGCCUGAGAAACGGCUACCACAUCUAAGGAAGGCAGCAGGCGCGCAAAUUACCCAAUUCUAACAGUUUGAGAGAGGUAGUAACAAGAAAUAACAAUACAAGGCAGUUAAAAUGCUUUGUAAUUGGAAUGAUAGAAAUUUAAACCCUUUUUAAAGUAUCAAUUGGAGGGCAAGUCUGGUGCCAGCAGCCGCGGUAAUUCCAGCUCCAAUAGCGUAUAUUAAAAUUGUUGCAGUUAAAAAGCUCGUAGUUGAAGUUCUGCUGAAAGUAACCGGUCUGCUUUUAAUAAAAGUGGUAUCUUGGUAUGUAUUUAGCAAUGAUGUCCUUUGAAGUGUUUUUUACUUUAUUGUAAUAAAGCAUAUUCAGGACUUUUACUUUGAGAAAAUUAGAGUGUUUCUAGCAGGCUAACGCUUUGAAUACUGCAGCAACAUCUUUUUUAUGUC